rnacentral:rRNA from 1 species
AUGCCCGUCAGCUAGCCUAUUAACACAACAUCAACAUAACCUUAUUAAUAAACUAUUAUAUACGCACAUCAUAUAGUUAAACCAUUUUUCCCCCCUAGUAU